rnacentral:rRNA from 1 species
AUGAACGCUGGCGGCGUGCCUAAUACAUGCAAGUCGAGCGGUAAGGCUCCUUCGGGAGUACACGAGCGGCGGACGGCUGAGUAACACGUAGGAACGUACCCCAAACUGAGGGAUAAGCACCAGAAAUGGUGUCUAAUACCGCAUGUGGUCUUCGGACUAAAGCUCCGGCGGUUUGGGAACGGCCUGCGCAUGAUUAGCUUGUUGGUAAGGUAAUGGCUUACCAAGGCGACGAUCAUUAGCUGGUCUGAGAGGAUGAUCAGCCAGACUGGGACUGAGAACGGCCCAGACUCCUACGGGAGGCAGCAGUAGGGAAUUUUUCCACAAUGGGGGCAACCCUGAUGGAGCAACGCCGCGUGCAGGAUGAAUGCCUUCGGGUUGUAAACUGCUUUUCUAUGUGACGAAUAUGACGGUAGCAUAGGAAUAAGGACCUGCUAACUACGUGCCAGCAGCCGCGGUCAUACGUAGGGUCCAAGCGUUAUCCGGAAUUACUGGGCGUAAAGAGUUGCGUAGGUGGCAUAGUAAGUUGGUAGUGAAAGCGUGCGGCUCAACCGCAUACACAUUACUAAAACUGCUAAGCUAGAGGACGAGAGAGGUCACUGGAAUUCCUAGUGUAGGAGUGAAAUCCGUAGAUAUUAGGAGGAACACCGAUGGCGUAGGCAGGUGACUGGCUCGUUCCUGACACUAAGGCACGAAAGCGUGGGGAGCAAACGGGAUUAGAUACCCCCGUAGUCCACGCCGUAAACUAUGGAUGCUAGCUGUUCAAGGUAUCGACCCCUUGUGUAGCGAAGCUAACGCGUUAAGCAUCCCGCCUGUGGAGUACGGUCGCAAGACUAAAACAUAAAGGAAUUGACGGGGACCCGCACAAGCGGUGGAGCGUGUUGUUUAAUUCGAUGGUAAACGAAGAACCUUACCCAGGCUUGACAUCCUUGGAAUUUCUGCGAAAGCAGAGAGUGCUUUAUUGAGCCAAGUGACAGGUGAUGCAUGGCCGUCGUCAGCUCGUGUCGUGAGAUGUUUGGUUAAGUCCAUCAACGAGCGCAACCCUUAUAGUUAGUUGAAUUUUUCUAGCUAGACUGCCCUGGCAACAGGGAGGAAGGAGGGGAUGAUGUCAGGUCAGUAUUUCCCUUACGUCUGGGGCUACAAACACGCUACAAUGGCCGGUACAAAGGGCAGCCAAGCAGCAAUGCGGAGCAAAUCCCAUCAAAGCCGGUCCCAGUUCGGAUAGCAGGCUGAAACUCGCCUGCUUGAAGUCGGAAUCGCUGGUAACGGUAGGUCAGCUAUACUGCCGUGAAUACGUUCCCGGGUCUUGUACACACCGCCCGUCAAGUCAUGAAAGUCGCCAAUACCUGACGUCUCGCCUCCGUGCGGGCCUAGGGUAGGGGUGAUGAUUGGGACU